GAUGAACGCUGGCGGCGUGCCUAACACAUGCAAGUCGAGCGAACAGACGAGGCUCGCUCCCCUCUUACGCUACCGGCGGGCGAGUGAUUCACACGUGGCUACCCUACCUUUAGGACUGGGAUAACUACGGUAAACCUAAUCCAAUACCCGACCAUAUCUUGAACCUCAUGGUUCGUCAGACAACGACGGAUUUGCUGCGCCUUAUAGACAUUUCCGAGCCGCAUUAGCUAAUUGGUAAGGCAACGGCUUACCAAGGCAACGAUGCGUAGCCGACCUGAGAGGGUGAUCAGCCACACUGGAACUGAGACACGGUACAGACUCCUACGGGAGGCAGCAGUGGGGAAUAUUGCGCAAUGGGCGAAAGCCUGACGGAGCAACGCCGCGUGAGUGACGAAGGUCUUCGGAUCGUAAAACACUGUAAUUAGGGAAGAACGGAUGUGUAAUUAAAUCUGAACGUCUUGACGGUACCAAAACAGAAAGCAACGGCUAACUACGUG
rnacentral:rRNA from 1 species